CCAUUGUGUUUGAAAAUAUCUGAGGACUAAGGCUGUGUUUGUACCACUCAGAUUUCAGCCGGCUUCCAAGCGAAGCCAUCGCUUUUUCCACCGAAAAGCAGAAGCCUGGAGGCCCCUGCUUUUGGAAGCCGCACGGCCCAACUGUAGCGAUUCACUGAAUGAAUCUUAAACAACCUUCGACGCACAGACAAUUGGAGAGCGGAGACGCUUCCAUUUUCACCACGCACAGCCUCUCCAUUCAAUUCGGAGGUAGCCAUCUCUCUUUGUCUUCAAAUUCAAAAUUUGGGGUAAAAAUCAUAGCAUAGGAUCAAUUGCCGAAUCGGAAAAAUCGGGGAUUUCAUUAAGAAAGGCUUUGUUGAAGCCAUGGCAUGGCGGUAGGGUUUUCAGUUAUCUCCGGAAUCUCGGAAUCUUGGUUUUGUUUUUAUCUUUGUAUAUGUGUACGUUUGAUAAGGCAUCAGGACCUCAUUGAGGUUAAGAUUUUAAUCUAAUUUGACAUUCCUGGAAUACUCAAUAUGUUCAUAUAUCUUUGCUGCAUGACUGUGUGGAUCCAUCACUCGUCUUCAUAUAUACAACAAUCUUUGAUUUGUAAAAGAACUUGCAAAGCCUUUCACCUAAAAAAAAUUAUUGCUGAACUGAAGCCUUUCAAAUUAGGAGCAAAACCAGCUAAAGGUUUUUGCUCACUCUUAUGCUGUGGUUGCAUUUUAUUUCCACUAGUGUAUCAAAAUUCUGCCUUUGAUUAGGUCUGAGAUGAAGUUCCGUCCUUGUGUUCGUGUUCAGCUUUGUGUUUUAGACUUAGUUGCGUUCAUCUUUAACUAGUUUUACCAAUGUGUCUAAAGUUUCAGCGUUCAACUAUAGCCUUCUGUGACUAUAUGAUCUGAGAUGAGAAUAAGAAUUUACGAGCAUCCCAUAUAUUGAGUCAUACUUACUUCAUUCCAUAUAGGAAGCUUCCUGUUCAAUACAUCAAGCAUCUCAAUGUUGAAAUUAUACAAGGAUCGAUAUAAAAGCAAUUGGGAUAAACUGGAAUGUUUUCUGAUGUCCUGGUGAUGUGUUAGUGUAGGCAUGAAUUAGGAAUAUUGGUUUGACAAAAGCAUUGGUUCUGUGGUGUUUGUCAUGUGUUACUUGCCCGUAUCUGAUUCCAUCUUUAUUCCCAUUCCUGCACUUUGUAUAAAAAUAUAUACCAUCCCAUUUCAAAUACAGUCAGAGUUCAAAGCCUUCUCUCUAAACCAUGUCCUUCUCCCAACUCAACACUUUCAGGUGUUGCACCUUUUCCUCAUCAGGUUUCUCUCUUUCUCUGUUUGGCUCUGUUUUCUUUGUUCUUUGGUGUUUCUCUCUCAGUUCAAGUCAACAUUUAUUAGAUACCAUAUUGAUUAGAAUUCUGAAUUGCACUUUGCAAAAGUUUCAUGUAGUUUUUCCCCCCUUUUAUCAGUAUGAUAAUUAGUUAUCAGGUACGUUAUGGUGAUUUCAGUUUUUAUUUUUUAAUUUUUUUUUUAGUAACUGUUAUCCAGCAAAGAAGCAUCGUGUUUGUUUGAGACAAUGCAAAACGCCUAUGUAAGACCUAAUGAACUGAUUGAAUUCCAUUCUGAUGACUCACCUUUUCCUCCUGCCAAAGGGGGCUGUGGCUGUGAUACCAUCUCCUAAUAUAAAGUCAUUUGAUUGAAUUAUGCGAUUUUUGACUUUUGAAGCUCUUUUCUUGACUUUCUAAUCAUAGUUUGUCAGUUUCUAUUAGUUAUUUUGUUCUAUAGUGAAAUUUGCAUUCUUUUAAGGUACUACUUCUAUUGAAGUUUAAUGGCACUCUUUCUGUUGCUUGUUAAAAAUCCCAAUAUGAGAAUAUCAAGUGGUGAUCAACCCGAAAAACCUCUCUUCAAACCUUCUGGAAAUUUGGCAGUGCUUAGUGUAUUUCUUUGUUUAGACUAUUUCCUUAUCACACAUUAAUUUGAAUUUCUUUAUUCAAAUGUCUCAGAGAUGGUAACUUCAGUUCUUUCAUAAAAAAGUAUCUGGUGAAAAAGCUGAAUCUUCACAGUGAGGCGGGGGUAACAUCAUCUGCUCUCCCUUUUCAAAUUAGUAAAGAUGCAUGUGUAACCCUUCUGUGUUAUGAUAGUGACAGUGCAACUAAGUUUAAGAUGAGUUAUCCACUUAGAGCUGAAAGCUAUCUAUUUGUGGUCUGAAAGUUAUCUAUACGGCUAGAGCUCUGCUCUAGUAACAUUUCAUAUUGUUGUCUCUCUGCUGCGUACGAGUAAUUUUGAUGGAUGUAGGUAGGCUUUUAGUAUCCAUCACAAUUGCUUGUAUCUAUUACUCUAUGGUAAAAUUAGUAUUAGUGCAGAUGAGGUUGACAUCAAAACUGAAACUGAAAGAGAAGAAAAAGAUUUGUGUUCUUUCCAUUUUCUGACCUGAAACUGUUGAGGAUGCUAGCUAAUGAAGGUGCUGCAGUGUUGUGUUCCUUGCAAUCUUUGACUUGAAAUUGUUGAGGAAGCUAGCUAAUGAAGGUGCUACAAUGUUGGGGUUGCCUUGACUAGUUUUUAUUUUUUAAGAAUUGUGAUUGUUAGUUGGUGUAAGAAUGAUGGAUAUUAUAUUUUGAAAUUUGUCAAUUUAUAAUAUUUGCGAAACAUGGUACUAGUAUUACUCAAAGUUUGA